UAUCAACCAGAUAAAAACACUUAUAUAAUAGUCAUAAUAUGGAUGACGCGUUUCUACCCAACUGCCGUAAAUAGUUGGACUAUGAGUGAGAUUUUAGCCAAAA
rnacentral:ncRNA from 1 species